rnacentral:rRNA from 1 species
UUGGGGUGGGGUGACUGCGUACCUUUUGUAUAAUGGGUCAGCGACUUAUAUUCUGUAGCAAGGUUAACCGUAUAGGGGAGCCGUAGGGAAACCGAGUCUUAACUGGGCGAAUAAGUUGCAGGGUAUAGACCCGAAACCCGGUGAUCUAGCCAUGGGCAGGUUGAAGGUUGGGUAACACUAACUGGAGGACCGAACCGACUAAUGUUGAAAAAUUAGCGGAUGACUUGUGGCUGGGGGUGAAAGGCCAAUCAAACCGGGAGAUAGCUGGUUCUCCCCGAAAGCUAUUUAGGUAGCGCCUCGUGAACUCAUCUUCGGGGGUAGAGCACUGUUUCGACUAGGGGGUCAUCCCGACUUACCAACUCGAUGCAAACUACGAAUACCGAAGAAUGUUAUCACGGGAGACACACGGCGGGUGCUAACGUUCGUCGUGAAGAGGGAAACAACCCAGACCGCCAGCUAAGGUCCCAAAGUCAUAGUUAAGUGGGAAACGAAGUGGGAAGGCUCAGACAGCCAGGAUGUUGGCUUAGAAGCAGCCAUCAUUUAAAGAAAGCGUAAUAGCUCACUGGUCGAGUCGGCCUGCGCGGAAGAUGUAACGGGGCUAAACUAUGCACCGAAGCUGCGGCAGCGAUAUGUAAAUAUUGUUGGGUAGGGGAGCGU